AAAGGGGGCGUGCUAUCAUGCAAGUCGUGCGGACCUUUUAAAAGCUUGCUUUUAAAAGGUUAGCGGCGGACGGGUGAGUAACACGUGGGCAACCUGCCUGUAAGACUGGGAUAACGCCGGGAAACCGGGGCUAAUACCGGAUAGUUUUUUCCUCCGCAUGGAGGAAAAAGGAAAGGCGGCUUCGGCUGCCACUUACAGAUGGGCCCGCGGCGCAUUAGCUAGUUGGCGGGGUAACGGCCCACCAAGGCAACGAUGCGUAGCCGACCUGAGAGGGUGAUCGGCCACAUUGGGACUGAGACACGGCCCAAACUCCUACGGGAGGCAGCAGUAGGGAAUCUUCCGCAAUGGACGAAAGUCUGACGGAGCAACGCCGCGUGAGUGAAGAAGGCCUUCGGGUCGUAAAACUCUGUUGCCGGGGAAGAACAAGUGCCGUUCGAACAGGGCGGCGCCUUGACGGUACCCGGCCAGAAAGCCACGGCUAACUACGUGCCAGCAGCCGCGGUAAUACGUAGGUGGCAAGCGUUGUCCGGAAUUAUUGGGCGUAAAGCGCGCGCAGGCGGCUUCUUAAGUCUGAUGUGAAAUCUUGCGGCUCAACCGCAAGCGGUCAUUGGAAACUGGGAGGCUUGAGUGCAGAAGAGGAGAGUGGAAUUCCACGUGUAGCGGGUGAAAUGCGUAGAGAUGUGGAGGAACACCAGUGGCGAAGGCGGCUCUCUGGUCUGUAACUGACGCUGAGGCGCGAAAGCGUGGGGAGCAAACAGGAUUAGAUACCCUGGUAGUCCACGCCGUAAACGAUGAGUGCUAAGUGUUAGAGGGUUUCCGCCCUUUAGUGCUGCAGCUAACGCAUUAAGCACUCCGCCUGGGGAGUACGGCCGCAAGGCUGAAACUCAAGGAAUUGACGGGGGCCCGCACAAGCGGUGGA
rnacentral:rRNA from 1 species